GAUGAACGCUGGCGGCGUGCCUAAUACAUGCCAGUUGAGCGAACGGACGAGAAGCUUGCUUCUCUGAUGUUAGCGGCGGACGGGUGAGUAACACGUGGAUAACCUACCUAUAAGACUGGGAUAACUUCGGGAAACCGUAGCUAAUACCGGAUAAUAUUUUGAACCGCAUGGUUCAAAAGUGAAAGACGGUCUUGCUGUCACUUAUAGAUGGAUCCGCGCUGCAUUAGCUAGUUGGUAAGGUAACGGCUUACCAAGGCAACGAUGCAUAGCCGACCUGAGAGGGUGAUCGGCCACACUGGAACUGAGACACGGUCCAGACUCCUACGGGAGGCAGCAGUAGGGAAUCUUACGCAAUGGGCGAAAGCCUGACGGAGCAACGCCGCGUGAGUGAUGAAGGUCUUCGGAUCGUAAAACUCUGUUAUUAGGGAAGAACAUAUGUGUAAGUAACUGUGCACAGCUUGACGGUACCUAAUCAGAAAGCCACGGCUAACUACGUG
rnacentral:rRNA from 1 species